CACGUAGGGCGCAAGCGUUGUCCGGAAUUAUUGGGCGUAAAGAGCUCGUAGGCGGUUUGUCGCGUCUGCUGUGAAAACUGGAGGCUCAACCUCCAGCCUGCAGUGGGUACGGGCAAACUAGAGUGCGGUAGGGGAGAUUGGAAUUCCUGGUGUAGCGGUGGAAUGCGCAGAUAUCAGGAGGAACACCGAUGGCGAAGGCAGAUCUCUGGGCCGUAACUGGACGCUGGGGAGCGAAAGCAUGGGGAGCGAACAGG
rnacentral:rRNA from 1 species